rnacentral:rRNA from 1 species
GAUGAACGCUGGCGGCGUGCCUAAUACAUGCAAGUCGAGCGAACAGACGAGGAGCUUGCUCCUCUGACGUUAGCGGCGGACGGGUGAGUAACACGUGGAUAACCUACCUAUAAGACUGGGAUAACUUCGGGAAACCGGAGCUAAUACCGGAUAAUAUAUUGAACCGCAUGGUUCAAUAGUGAAAGACGGUUUUGCUGUCACUUAUAGAUGGAUCCCCGCCGCAUUAGCUAGUUGGUAAGGUAAGGGCCUAUCAAGGGAACGAUGCGUAGCCGACCUGAGAGGCUGGUCGGCCACACUGGAAGUGGGACACCGUCCAGACUCCUACGGUAAGCAGCAGUAGGGAAUCUUCCGCAGUGGGCGAAAGCCUGACGGAACAACGCCGCGUGAGUGAUGAAGGUCUUCGGUUCGUAAAGCUCUGUUAUUAGGGAAGAACAAAUGUGUACGUAACUAUGCACGUCUUGACGGUACCGAAUCAGAAAGCCACGGCUAACUACGUG